rnacentral:rRNA from 1 species
AACGCGAAGAACCUUACCUGGGCUCGAAAUGUAGUAGAAUCCGGUGGAAACAUCGGCGUCUCGCAAGAGACUGCUAUAUAGGUGCUGCAUGGCUGUCGUCAGCUCGUGUCGUGAGAUGUUGGGUUAAGUCCCGCAACGAGCGCAACCCUUAUCGUUAGUUGCCAGCGGGUCAAGCCGGGCACUCUAGCGAAACCGCCUCGGAUAACGGGGAGGAAGGUGGGGAUGACGUCAAGUCCUCAUGGCCUUUAUGUCCAGGGCUACACACGUGCUACAAUGGUCGGUACAAACCGUCGCAAACCCGCGAGGGGGAGCUAAUCGGAAAAAGCCGGCCUCAGUUCGGAUUGGAGUCUGCAACUCGACUCCAUGAAGCUGGAAUCGCUAGUAAUGCUAUAUCAGAACGAUAGCGUGAAUACGUUCCCGGGCCUUGUACACACCGCGAGC